rnacentral:rRNA from 1 species
UACGUAGGGUGCAAGCGUUGUCCGGAAUUAUUGGGCGUAAAGAGCUCGUAGGCGGUUUGUCGCGUCUGCUGUGAAAACUCGGGGCUUAACCCCGGGCCUGCAGUCGAUACGGGCAGGCUAGAGUUCGGCAGGGGAGACUGGAAUUCCUGGUGUAGCGGUGAAAUGCGCAGAUAUCAGGAGGAACACCGGUGGCGAAGGCGGGUCUCUGGGCCGAUACUGACACUGAGGAGCGAAAGCGUGGGGAGCGAACAGG